rnacentral:lncRNA from 1 species
GUCAUUAAUACAUUUUCUGCAAUUUGGAGAAAUCAGUGGCAAUUAUUUUCUUCGAAAUGAACCAUUAGCCAACUUUCAGUUGAAGGGGCAAAAAUACCAAGAAAAUCGUUCGAUGACUGACACAUUUCCUCCCUCCAGGUCUGCGAGCUGCUUUCUCAGACCAACAAUAAUUACUAAGCAAAGGAGCUAAAAAGUACUCCAAGGAGACAGAUAUGUACAAAGCCAAGAGCCUUUGCUUUUGCAGCGUACCUAAGGGUUGAACCAACACGUGUGAAUUCAGACCAGCCCAAACCUCUGUGCUCACUGCUCCCUGCCUGGGCAUCAGUGCGUGGCAGAGCCCAUCAGCCGUGGCAUCAGGGCUGCAUGUUUCUUGCUGGAGUUUUUAACGCCAUGGGUCCAAAAACCUUCACCAGCCCCCGCGGUACCAAUACCCAGGUAAUGCCUGGCUAUAAAAUCCACACACCCUGGUGUGAAUCCAGCAUUUGGUGUGAUCUCCUGGCUGCUUUGCUGCUAAAUGAAAGGAAAAGGAGGAAAAAGGAAAGACAAUCUGUGGCAAGAUUAAAAGAGAACAGGAAAAUAAAAGGUACCUGCUCUGAUGUGAUUCCUUGGGGUGAGAGUGAAGAGCAGAUUUACAUACUGCUGCAAGCACUCAUUAACUGCUGGUAAAUGACAAGCCCAUGGGCUAGGUAGGGAAACCUGCUGGCCUCUGCUCUCCUGCCUGACCUGCAGAGCCCCAGCAUCAACACACCUUCAAAGCAGCCUUUGCUCCUGGGAGGGAACUUAGACCAAGCUUUGCCUGAAGGCUGCAGUCCCUGGGACAACCCGACCAGCAUCACUCGCUACCAGUCCCCGAGGUCUCGCAAUGCCUCAUUUCUCAUGGCUAAUUAACAAAAGCACUCAUUCUUCCUCCCCAGGCACCCCAGACCUGAUCCUACAGAUGGAGCCACUGGCCAGUUCCAUGGUCGUCUCUCUGGGAUAAGCCUCAGCCACGACAGCAGCUCCUCGCCCAUGAUGGAUGGGCCCUGUCAUCCCUCCCAGCCCUUUCCUAUUGACUUUAGUUUUUAAUACACAUCAUAAAGCCUCAGAGCAGCAGCCUGCGGCCAGGCAGACGCCUGCACAUGACCUGCAGCAGCAGUGGGAUGAGGGGUUGCCAGUGCCCCAAUCAGAGCAGGUGAUGGAUGAGGGCUCUGAAGCAUCCCCAGGAUAAACGUCCUCUUGGCACGGUGAGCACAAAGCUCUGCAGGUCCCAGCCGAAGGGACCAAACUUCCCAAAAAACACCUACAGCCCAUCCCUGGGCACCCCAAAACACAGGGCUCUGCAGCCAGCCUUGCUCAGGGGGGUAAGAACAUGUCCCCCAGCCAAAGAACACAGGUCCUGCCCUCAGCGGGGCUUCAUUAUUGCAGCAGUUAAAUCCCUGCUCCUGGAAAGCAUCUCCUUGGCUGCCUCUCACUUGCUCUUCAACAGCGAGCAGCUGCACGGGUAAAGCAUCUUCUUCCGUUCGAGCACAACCAAAUUGCUUCUUAUCAAUCUCAGCCUCCCAGAACCACCGUCACGGGGUGCAGCACCCCACGGGGUCAGGCUGAGGGUCUCUGGGGGUCCCCAGGGCUGUCCCUGCUCUCCAUGGGCUGCGCUGAGCUGCGGGUGGUGCUGAGCUGGUGCUCCUUGAAGGAGU